rnacentral:rRNA from 1 species
GACGAACGCUGGCGGCGUGCUUAACACAUGCAAGUCGAACGGUGAAGCGCCUUCCUUUUUGGUGGGUGUGGAUGAGUGGCGAACGGGUGAGUAACACGUGAGUAACCUGCCCCCUUCUUCUGGAUAACCUCAUGAAAGUGUGGCUAAUACGGGAUAUUCUGGGUCUGUCGCAUGAUGGGUCUGGGAAAGAUAUUGUUUCGGUGGGGGAUGGGCUCGCGGCCUAUCAGCUUGUUGGUGGGGUGAUGGCCUACCAAGGCGGUGACGGGUAGCCGGCCUGAGAGGGUGGACGGUCACACUGGGACUGAGACACGGCCCAGACUCCUACGGGAGGCAGCAGUGGGGAAUAGUGCACAAUGGGCGCAAGCCUGAUGCAGCGACGCCGCGUGAGGGAUGGAGGCCUUCGGGUUGUGAACCUCUUUCGCCAGUGAAGCAGGCCUGCCUCGUUUGUGGGUGGGUUGACGGUAGCUGGAUAAGAAGCGCCGGCUAACUACGUG